GCCUGAUUAGCACAGUGGUAAUGCGUUGCACUCGUAACGAGACACAUCAUCUUGAAACAUGCAAAGAUCACUGGUUCAAUUCCAGUAUCAGGCA